rnacentral:rRNA from 1 species
ACGAACGCUGGCGGCAUGCCUAACACAUGCACGUCGAACGAGACCUUCGGGUCUAGUGGCGCACGGGUGCGUAACGCGUGGGAACCUGCCCUUAGGUUCGGAAUAACUCCCCGAAAGGGGUGCUAAUACCGGAUAAUGUCUUCGGACCAAAGAUUUAUCGCCUUUGGAUGGGCCCGCGUUGGAUUAGCUAGUUGGUAGGGUAAAAGCCUACCAAGGCGACGAUCCAUAGCUGGUCUGAGAGGAUGAUCAGCCACACUGGGACUGAGACACGGCCCAGACUCCUACGGGAGGCAGCAGUGGGGAAUAUUGGACAAUGGGCGAAAGCCUGAUCCGGCAAUGCCGCGUGAGUGAUGAAGGCCUUAGGGUUGUAAAGCUCUUUUACCCGGGAUGAUAAUGACAGUACCGGGAGAAUAAGCUCCGGCUAACUCCGUG